CGUAGGUGAACCUGCG
rnacentral:rRNA from 1 species